rnacentral:rRNA from 1 species
UACGUAGGGGGCAAGCGUUAUCCGGAUUUACUGGGUGUAAAGGGAGCGUAGACGGCCAGACAAGUCUGAAGUGAAAACCCAGCGCUUAACGUUGGAAGUGCUUUGGAAACUGCCGGGCUAGAGUGCAGGAGGGGCAGGCGGAAUUCCUAGUGUAGCGGUGAAAUGCGUAGAUAUUAGGAGGAACACCAGUGGCGAAGGCGGCCUGCUGGACUGCAACUGACGUUGAGGCUCGAAGGCGUGGGGAGCAAACAGG